rnacentral:rRNA from 1 species
AGCGAACGCUGGCGGCAGGCUUAACACAUGCUAGUCGAACGCCCCGCAAGGGGAGUGGCAGACGGGUGGGUGACACGUGGGAACGUACCCUUUGGUUCGGAAUAACUUGGGGAAACUCAAGCUAAUACCGGAUAAGCCCUUAUGGGGAAAGGUUUACUGCCGAAGGAUCGGCCCGCGUCUGAUUAGCUAGUUGGUGAGGUAAUGGCUCACCAAGGCGACGAUCAGUAGCUGGUCUGAGAGGAUGAUCAGCCACACUGGGACUGAGACACGGCCCAGACUCCUACGGGAGGCAGCAGUGGGGAAUAUUGGACAAUGGGGGCAACCCUGAUCCAGCCAUGCCGCGUGAGUGAUGAAGGCCUUAGGGUUGUAAAGCUCUUUUACCCGGGACGAUAAUGACUGUACCGGGAGAAUAAGCCCCGGCUAACUUCGUGCCAGCCGCCGCCGUAA